UGUUCAUUUAUUUUUAACAAUGAUUAUACCAUUGCUAAAUAACAUUUAUUUAGCCAUUAUAUAAUAUUUCAAAAGUCCAUUACUCUAUAUUAUGAAUUAUAAUUACUCAAAAUAUGCAGCAGUGAUAAUAUAAUAUAUUUAUAGAAAAUAAAUAAAAAAAAAAAUUAAAUAAAUAUUAUUAUAUAAUAAGACCUCCCGCCAAAUUGUGAUACUGGAGACGUAAUUUUUCAAGUGAUAACAAUGAAUGCACGUAACAACUGAAUAUCGUCGUAGUUUCUGUCUUACCAUAUUUUUUAGCCAUGGUGUAUACCAUGAUUUUUGAUUAUUGUUUACUUAUUACGUUAGUGAAUAUCUGAAUUGUAGUAUAGCUUAAAUAGUAGAAUAACUAGUUAAAUUAAAUAAUUUAAUAAUAGUACAAAAAUUUAAUAUACAGCACGGCUAUAGAUAUUAUAUUAUCUAGAUUAGAUAGUAUCUAUAGCCGUGAUAAUAUAAUAUAUAUUGAUAAAAUGUCUGUGUUCAGAUUGUUUCCAAAUAUUUCUAUACUGGUAACUAGUGUGGAAAAUAGGACAUGAUCUAUUAUCAAAAUUAGUAUACUGGCUUUAACCAGUAUACUAUCGCACAAUUCACACGGACCAUAGACAUAUUAAUAGCUGGACUACGCCUUUUACACACCCCGUCUAUGUCUCCGUGAGACCAAUAUUGUUAAGCGGCCCCUACACGAUUAAUAAAAUUGUGUCUAUAUUUUGUUCAAUAUUCAUUUCACCCAAACCUCUCAAUAUUAUUGCCCAUUAUUCAGUCGAGAAAUAUUCGUUGGCCAGGUCAUAAAGGUGUUGUUUACGAUGUGUUAAAGGUGUCAGUUUAAUGGCAUUUACCAUCUGCUAUAAAUUAUAGAUUAUAAUUGUUUUAAAAAUGUA